GCGGAGGUAGCCAAGCCUGGUCAAAGGCGCGGGAAUGAGGAUCCCGUCCCUGAGGGGUUCGUGGGUUCGAAUCCCACCCUCCGCA
rnacentral:tRNA from 1 species